rnacentral:rRNA from 1 species
GACGAACGCUGGCGGCGUGCCUAAUACAUGCAAGUCGAACGCAGUGGGGCCGGGUGAGUAACACGUGGGUAACCUCCCAUCAGAGGGGAUAACACUUGGAAACAGGUGCUAAACCGAUACUGAUGGAUGGACCCGCGGUGCAUUAGCUAGUUGGUGAGGUAACGGCUCACCAAGGCCACGAUGAGUAGCCGGCCUGAGAGGGUGAUCGGCCACACUGGGACUGAGACACGGCCCAGACUCCUACGGGAGGCAGCAGUGGGGAAUAUUGGGCAAUGGACGAAAGUCUGACCGAGCAAUGCCGCGUGAGUGAAGAAGGUUUUCGGAUCGUAAAGCUCUGUUGUUUGAGAAGCGGUAUCUAACCAGAAAGCCCCGGCUAACUACGUGCCAGCCGCCGCGGUAAUUC